GGGAAUGUGGCUUAGUGGUAGAGUGCUUGCCUAACAUUCAUGAAGUCCUGGGUUCAAUUCCCUAGUACCA
rnacentral:tRNA from 1 species